AUGCCAACCAGCUGUGGACCUCAUUUUACCACAGUCUCCUAUGAGCAAUGCCCUGACACCAAAAGUACUCCUGGGUCUUCUAUAAAAGCAGCUGCUCAGCCUCAGCCUGGUGUCACCCUAAGCUUUGCAGUUCAUAUUCUCCUCUCUCCUUCAUCUCUCUCUGUUCUGCUUGGACAAAAUGCUCAGUUCUUCUGUAUUGUGGAGGAAGGAGAAGGCUGUAGAAUUUUAAAGUUGCACUGGCAUCACAGGAACAUGCAUCCAGCUGGCACUGAGGCCAAAGAAAAUAAACUCCUUACUGAAGGUCGCUUUAAUAUUACCAAACGCUCAAACAUCAGUAGCAGUCUGUUCAUUACAAACAUGGGGUUUUGUGACAUCGGUCACAUCAUAUGUUCAGCCUAUUGUAUACAAAAAACAAUAGUGUCCAUUAACAAGAGCUCCCUACUGUCAGUGAAAGCGGUUCCCAAACUGAACAUUUUUUACCAGACAUCAGUUGAUGAUCCCAGUGUACUGACACUGACUUGCAUCGCUGAAGGUUUCUACCCCUCUGAUAUAACCCUGUCCUGGGUCCAUUCUGUCCAAGAGGUGCCCAACAGCAGGGAGCAAACACCUGCCACUCUCCUUCAGGAUGGGACCUACAACAUCAGCUCAACACUUCAGGUCAAAGAUUCUCUUUGGAGCCCCGAGGUGGAGAUUGGUUGUGAAGCAAAUCACAGUUCUCUGACACAGCCAUUGAUGAAGAAAAUUAGAAAAGAGAUCUUUCUCCUGAGGAAAUAUAUCCUAGUGUUCUCACAAGUGUCUCCUUUUGAGUUUCAUCAGAAAUCUCAGCAAAGUUAUACAUUGAGCUCAGAUGUUCCAAAUUAG